rnacentral:rRNA from 1 species
AACGUAGGUACCGAGCGUUAUCCGGAUUUACUGGGCGUAAAGCGCGUUCAGGCGGUUUGGCAAGUCGGGCAUGAAAUCUCUCGGCUCAACCGGGAGAGGUUGUCCGAUACUGUUAGACUGGAGGGCAGUAGAGGGUGGUGGAAUUCCGGGUGUAGUGGUGAAAUGCGUAGAGAUCCGGAGGAACACCAGUGGCGAAAGCGGCCACCUGGACUGCACCUGACGCUGAAACGCGAAAGCUAGGGGAGCAAACAGG